GGGAGAGAAGCCCUCUGGACAGCUUCUAGAGUGUGCAGGUUCUCGUAUCCCUCGGUCAAGGGUAUCCUCUGUAAACUUCUGCAAACCCAGCGCAACUACGGUUCCCCGGACAGACCCAGGAUGCGGCCAGGACGGACAGGGCCCUCGCCACUGCCGCUGCUGCUGGUGUUAGCGCUCAGUCAAGGCUGAUUACAGUCCAUUUUCACUUGAGGAAUGGCAAUCUUCUAGUUAAGAUUUCCACACUUCCAUGGGUCAGAACCCUUUAAGGGAGAGGGAAGACAUUCUGUUUGCCAGAGCACUUGACUGUGAGUAACUGAAUCUGUAGACUGUUCUGGUUAUCCCUUGACAUGUAACCAGUCACCCCAAAGUUUAGUGACAUAAAACCACAACCUCAUUUAUUAUCUCUCGUGGUGUCUUGGGUCAGAGCUUUGAGAAUGGCUUGAAUGGGCAGCCUCACGCAAAGUCUC
rnacentral:lncRNA from 1 species